rfam:Staphylococcus epidermidis RP62A, complete genome.
CUCUUAUCCUGAGUGGUGGAGGGACAUGGACCCAAUGAAACCCAGCAACCUCUUUAUUUAAAGAAAGGUGCCAAACCGUUUGCAGACAAAUAUGGUCUGAACGAUAAGAG